rnacentral:rRNA from 1 species
GGAAUAUUGGGCAAUGGAGGAAACUCUGACCCAGCGACGCCGCGUGCGGGAUGAAGGCCUUCGGGUUGUAAACCGCUUUCAGUAGGGAAGAAGCGAAAGUGACGGUACCUACAAAAGAAGCACCGGCUAACUAUGUGCCAGCAGCCGCGGUAAUACAUAGGGUGCAAGCGUUGUCCGGAAUUAUUGGGCGUAAAGAGCUCGUAGGUCGUUUGUUACGUCGGAUGUGAAAACCUGAGGCUCAACCUCAGGCCUGCAUUCGAUACGGGCAAACUAGAGUUUGGUAGGGGAGACUGGAAUUCCUGGUGUAGCGGUGGAAUGCGCAGAUAUCAGGAGGAACACCAAUGGCGAAGGCAGGUCUCUGGGCCAAUACUGACACUGAGGAGCGAAAGUCUGGGGAGCGAACAGGAUUAGAUACCCUGGUAGUCCAGACCGUAAACGGUGGGCACUAGUUGUGGGAACCUUCCACGGUUUUUGCGGCGCAGCUAACGCAUUAAGUGCCCCGCCUGGGGAGUACGAUCGCAAGAUUAAAACUCAAAGGAAUUGACGG